GCCUGGUUAGCUCAAUCAGUAGAGCGUGUGACUCUUACGGCAUGCGCGACAUGUGCACGUGAGCCAUCACAAGGCUGUGGGUUUGACCCCCACAUCGGGUG